rnacentral:lncRNA from 1 species
GAAACAAUAAGCGCUAAUAGUUGUUUUCUUUUAAAUUUUAGGCCUUGAUUGUUCAACGAGACGGCCCCCGUCGUGCUGGUUUUCAAGGUGCUCCCUCGCUGCCUAGAAGAUGCUGAUGCGGAAUAGAAAAUGCAAAAACGUCGCUCGCUCAACCGCAAAUUGACGGCUACGCUGAAGCGCAUGCCGUGUCUGCGGAAUUUGAACCCCGAGCUUUCCAGAGUUCCUUGGAAAAUCCUCCCAUGCACCUGCCAUGUACAUUGCCCUCCUCCUCGAUGUGGCGUGCAAGAUGGCAGCAGCAGCUGUGGGAACAGUUGAAGAGGCGAAGAAAGGUCCACUUUAUAAUAGGUUGUAUGUAAAUAAAACUGAUCGACCUCAA